UUUGUUGUCAGUUGGUUUAAUAUUAUUUUCAUUCUUUCAUUUUUUUGUCUUUUUCAACGUCCGCUUUUGCUGUAGCAAAUCUUCAGAAAUUGG
rnacentral:ribozyme from 1 species